AGUGAACGCUGGCGGCAGGCCUAACACAUGCAAGUCGAACGGCAGCACAGUAAGAGCUUGCUCUUACGGGUGGCGAGUGGCGGACGGGUGAGGAAUACAUCGGAAUCUACUUUUUCGUGGGGGAUAACGUAGGGAAACUUACGCUAAUACCGCAUACGACCUACGGGUGAAAGCAGGGGAUCUUCGGACCUUGCGCGAUUGAAUGAGCCGAUGUUGGAUUCGCUAGUUGGCGGGGUAAGGGCCCACCAAGGCGACGAUCCGUAGCUGGUCUGAGAGGAUGGUCAGCCACAUUGGAACUGAGACAUGGUCCAGACUCCUACGGGAGGCAGCAGUGGGGAAUAUUGGACAAUGGGUGCAAGCCUGAUCCAGCCAUACCGCGUGGGUGAAGAAGGCCUUCGGGUGGUAAAGCCCUUUUGUUGGGAAAGAAAAGCAGCAGGUUAAUCCCCCGCUGUUCUGACGGUACCCAAAGAAUAAGCACCGGCUAACUUCGUG
rnacentral:rRNA from 1 species